rnacentral:rRNA from 1 species
CCUGGCUCAGAUUGAACGCUGGCGGCAUGCUUUACACAUGCAAGUCGAACGGCAGCGGGGGCUUCGGCCUGCCGGCGAGUGGCGAACGGGUGAGUAAUGCAUCGGAACGUGCCCAUGUCGUGGGGGAUAACGUAGCGAAAGCUACGCUAAUACCGCAUACGCCCUGAGGGGGAAAGCGGGGGAUUCUUCGGAACCUCGCGCGAUUGGAGCGGCCGAUGUCGGAUUAGCUAGUAGGUGAGGUAAAGGCUCACCUAGGCGACGAUCCGUAGCGGGUCUGAGAGGAUGAUCCGCCACACUGGGACUGAGACACGGCCCAGACUCCUACGGGAGGCAGCAGUGGGGAAUUUUGGACAAUGGGCGCAAGCCUGAUCCAGCCAUGCCGCGUGAGUGAAGAAGGCCUUCGGGUUGUAAAGCUCUUUCGGCCGGGAAGAAAUCGUG